GACGAACCACACAAACGUUAUUCGGAAUCACUGGGCUUAAAGCGCGUGUAGGCGGCCCGGAGCAUCGUCGGCUGAAAUCCCCCGGCUCAACCGGGGAACGGGCCACGAGAUGUCCGGGCUGGAGGGGGGUAGGGGGAGCCGGAACUCACGGUGGAGCGGUGAAAUGCGUUGAGAUCGUGAGGAACGCCCGUGGCGAAAGCGGGCUCCUGGACCCCGCCUGACGCUGAGACGCGAAAGCCAGGGGAGCGAACGGG
rnacentral:rRNA from 1 species